rnacentral:rRNA from 1 species
CCGGCGAACGGGUGCGUAACACGUGAGCAACCUGCCACCGUGUGGGGCAUAGCCGGCCUAACGGCCGGGUAAUUCCGCAUACGACCUUCUGGGGACAUCUCCGGAAGAGGAAACGAGUAAUCGGUACGGUGAGGGGCUCGCGGCCUAUCAGCUAGUUGGUGAGGGUAACGGCCCACCAAGGCGACGACGGGUAGCUGGUCUGAGAGGAUGGCCAGCCACAUUGGGACUGAGAAACGGCCCAG